rnacentral:rRNA from 1 species
AGCGAACGCUGGCGGCAGGCUUAACACAUGCAAGUCGAGCGGGCAUCCUUGUGGUGUCAGCGGCAGACGGGUGAGUAACGCGUGGGAACGUGCCCUUCGGUUCGGAAUAACUCAGGGAAACUUGAGCUAAUACCGGAUACGUGCGAGAGCAGAAAGGUUUAUCUGCCGAAGGAUCGGCCCGCGUCUGAUUAGCUAGUUGGUGAGGUUAUGGCUCACCAAGGCGACGAUCAGUAGCUGGUCUGAGAGGAUGAUCAGCCACACUGGGAGUGAGACACGGCCCAGACUCCGACGGAAGGCAGCAGGGGGGAAUAUUGGACAAUGGGGGCAACCCUGAUCCAGCCAGGCCGCGUGAGUGAUGACGGCCUUAGGGUUGUAAAGCUCUUUUCUCCGGGACGAUAAUGACGGUACCGGAGGAAUAAGCCCCGGCUAACUUCGU